UUGAAGCGAAGGGGGCGGUUUGCUUCUUUCGUUCACCGCCGUAACGCAACUGCAGGAACGGAUCAAACAUUCGUCCGGCAGCCGCGGGAGAAACAGAUUCCCCGAUGCCGGGCGUCUUUUGUUUCUUCCUGAUAACAGGGUAGCUUGCUGUUCAACUCCCCCUUUCUACCUCCCCCCCAGAUACACGGCCCAGCUGAGAUUGCAUCCGGUCCCGUCGAACGCAGCGAGAUAUCGCCGCAGCUGUAGGCAAGCCAGUCGGUGGCUGUCAUUGUGGUGCCUUACGGUGUGGCGAACGCGUGCACUGGAAAUGCGUAGACCUGCUUCGGAAGGACAUCGCAGCGGAGCGCUUGCGGAAUCGAAUCUUUGACCUGCUGGGUGCAACUUGGCGGAACGUGGCCUUGGUGUGUUCAACGCUUGACAAGGAACUUUCGCCGGCCGGCGGAAUGAGUGAUUGUGGAAAACCUGUCAAACGAGUUCGUUACUUCGUUGCGUAUCCCGCUUGUGUAGAUAGCACUUGCGCACGCAAUUAAAGCGUACACCGGUGUAUGCCGGUUCGGCCAAGAAACUCCAGCAAGUCCCAAGUUGAAAGAUGGUCUGACUGUGGCUCUACAUUUCGUACCGAGUGCAGUUGCCUUUGGCGCGUCUAGAAUCGCGGGAACAACACGGUCGACUCGGUUUCCGAUAGGGUUGUUGGAUUUUCUAAACGCUCAUUCAUAACCGGUGUACUCGAAUCGUCUUCUGCGGCCGAUCGUUCAUGCAAAGACGCACCGGAACAGCUUCAGCGGUUUUGAACAUCGCGAUUUGCUAGACGACUUCCAGACAUACGAGCAGUGGCUUUCAGAAGAAGACUUCGUCGUCUCGCAGCAGACGACAUUCCGCAAGUGCUGCAGUAAUUUCCACGUGACUUGCUGAUCCAGACGACACUUGCGCAGGACACGACGGACAGGUCUGAACGCUAUAGCUACCCAAGGGAUUUUUAAGUGUUCUAGAUAAAUGAAAGAACUACCCACGUCCGGUCAGAGCAUGGAUUCUAAGGAGGCGGCGUUCUGGAGCAGCUACACGGCCGUGGCAACGCCCAACAUCCAGGAGGAGAUCCUCGUCCAACAUUCGGCGCCCAGUAGGGCUUGGUUCAGCAAGACCGAUUCCACCAGUGUGCCUCCAAUCACCAGGAAGCAGUGGCUCAUCAUCGUGCUCAUCUACUCUGGCAACUUCUGCGCCGCCAUGAGCUUUUCGCUGCAGGCGCCGUUCUUCCCGAAGCAGGCAACCGAAAAAGGCGCCUCCCCGACGGAGUACGGGCUCAUUUUUUCAUCCUUCUACUUCACCAUCUUCCUCAUCGCUCCCGCUUACGGAAAACUGGUAGCCAUAGUGAAACCUAACAUCAUGCUGAAUGGAGGAUUUAGUCUUACCUGCCUCUGCGUCGUUCUCUUCGGGUGAGUAUAAACUUUCGUCAACCACGCUCCAGCCGGGGCCACGUUUGUGUCCCUGGCGUUCCUCAUCCGCAUCAUGGAGGGUCUGGGUGCGGCUGCCUACAUCACGGCCAGUGCCUACCAUUAUCAUGUCCGAGUUCCCGGGCCGCAUCGGCACUGUCCUGUCAUCACUGAAGACCGCCUUCAGCGUUGGUGUCAUCAUCGGGCCAACCGUUGGUGGAAUCCUUUUCGAUGUGAUGGGUGGCUUCACGACACCAUUUGUCGUCUGUGGUAGCAUCGGGUUCUUCUGUAAUGCGGUGACAUACAUUGUUAUUCCCAGCAUAGAGGACAAGCAUGAGAGCACCCCGACCGACCUGCGCAAGUUCUGGAGCGGGCCCCUGAUCUACAUGUACGCGGUGGCCAUCUUCGGGAGCUAUGUCUGUGUCGGCUUCAACCAGGCGACGCUUCAACCUCACCUGGAGCCCUUCAAGCUUUCCACGACAGUGCUGGGACUCGUCUUUAUGAUUCCCGGCAUCUGCAACGGUCUCAUGACUCCCGUGUGGGGCUGGCUGUGUGACAAGAAGGUGAACACGAAACUCCUGACGUCUCUCGGCGCGUACUUCACACUGUUGUAUCUGCUGCUGGUCGGUCCGGUGCCCUUCUUUCCAUUUGAAACCAAGCUUUGGCUGGUCCUGGUGUCCAUGGCCUUCUUUGGCAUCGGAAUCGGUGGAGCCUCCAUCUGUGCAUUCAUCGCGACCCUCGAGUACACGCUGAACCGGGGUUUCGAGCGUAGCAUCGCCACCAACGGCUUGGUUUCUUCCAUGUUCACCCUGUGCCAGUCUAUAGGGUCCUUCACUGGCCCUGCUCUCGGAGGCGUCCUGCUGCAGCACGUGGGCUACGCCUGGGGCACCGUUGUGCUGUUCAGCUUUCAAGCCAUCGUGGCCGUUCUGGUGACUACCGUCUAUCUUCGUGAAGUGUGCUGCUCCAGUUCCACCAUCAUCCGAUCGAAUACGCACGGGCGGCUGCUGGACGCCGACACUGCCACGAACUCGUCCAGCUGCGAGUUUACGACCGUUUCGGGCCGCGUGCAUAAGGCGCAGCAAUAUGGCACCUGCAACGGAGACGGCCUGUCAUAACGACCCCUUGCAUCUGCAUUUCCCCACUAGAGGUCGAUGCUGUCUUCGUCAUGUGAUACAUGUGUCCACGCUGGCGAUAUGUAUCGCAAGUUGUAGAGAGGCCGUUUGCUCUCCAAUCAUCUGACUCAUGAGAUCUAAUUCCAUAUAGUGGACCACUGUGUGUAGGGAUGAUCUAGGAGUUGAAGCAGCUAGGCCUAAUGAAGAGUUUUAAUGCCGGCGACCCCCAAACCGCUUGUGCACACUCGUUGUUGUGUUCCUUUAUGCUCCCGGCCGCAUCCAACGAGAAUGCAGAGACAUGAGGGCUUGCGUACACAAGCCUCUCUGGUGGGGCCGUGGCGCUCAAACUUAUAGCGAGUUUUGCAUGCGUAGCGAUCGCAACAGCGUUGCAUAAGAAUGCUGCAUUGACGAACUCCACAUCGUCACGUAUGCUACGGAUGCAGUACUGAAUCAUGAAUUACUUUCCGUGAAGAUAAAAAUGUCAAGCUGCAUUCCGGUGAGCGAUUAUCUUCAGAUCGCGACAGCUAACCCUUGGUCUAUAUGAACAACAGCUGGCGCAAUUACUCUUGCAGUUGCGUCCUUCAAAAUACACCGUUUCUGGUGUUUAUUGCGUUGAAACGUGGGCGUUUUAAGAUACACUCUCUGUGCUGCCGAGUUCAAGACGCAGCAGGAAUGUGCGUUCACUCGAAUAUUUAUUAUUCAGCUAGUGCGCACCAGAGAAUAGAAUAGCGAGGAAAAUCUAAACAAUUUGCCGGUUCAACCGCAUGAUCACGGCCACCUGGGUCAUCUGUAGCAGCUGCAAGCCUUUUGCAUGUAUUUCUUGUUUUGUUUUUAAUUUUAAGUUUUCAAUACAUUUCAACAAAGCUGCCCCACUUUUAAAACUUUUGGGGGUUGUUACAAACUUGCGGAGCAAGUUAUUGCAUAUUUUCAGCAUUUGAAGCCGUGUACAACCCUCCUGAAACUUCUCGUAUGCUAUUCAAAUAAUUCCGAGUGCUUCAGUAAGACUACUGCUGAAGUAUGGGACAAACACGUUCUUUAAGAAAAUAUAUGGAAUAUUGGAGUGUCAUGCGGAAUGUUUUACUAGGGGAAACAUGGCGGCCACCAAACUGCCAGUGCUAUGCAAUCGAGUUACUUGUUUUCAAAUAAAAUUGUUUGUGAUAACCCGAGC